GGGCGCAGCUGGACGCCAAGAGCAAGGGCUUCACGGACGUGCUGUACCUCGACUCGGUGCACAAGCGCUACCUGGAGGAGGUCUCUUCGUGCAACGUGUUCGUCGUCAAGGGCGGCGUCGUCGCCACGCCGGCCACCAUGGGCACCAUCCUGCCGGGGAUCACGCGCAAGAGCGUCAUCGAGCUAGCCCGGGACCGCGGCUACAAGGUCACGGCCCUGAACCUGUCUCUUUCCCUUUUCGCGCGUGACCUGCCGCUCCGUUCGUACAUCGAACGCACGCCCAUUUCCAGCGGCAACUUAUUACUGACGACGAUGAUCCUGACCGAGCAGGUUGAGGAGCGCCUCGUCUCCAUCGACGACCUGAUCGACGCCGACGAGGUGUUCUGCACCGGGACG
rnacentral:lncRNA from 1 species